rnacentral:rRNA from 1 species
CAUAUUUUAGAGCUAAAAUCAAUUUAUUAAUCUCUAUAAAUUUACUAUCAAAUCCAAUUUCAUUAAAUUUUUCAUAUUUAAAUCCACAUAAAUAAAUUUUAUUGUAACUCAUUUAUACUUAAAAAUAAACUACACCUUGAUUUGAUAUUAAUUUUAUUAUAAAUUAUAGAAAAUUAUUUAUUCUUUUAAAAUAUUCUAAUAACAACGAUAUAUAAAUUGAAUUACAAUUUUAAGUAAGGUACAUCGGGGAUUAUCGAUUAAAAAACAAGUUCCUCUGAAUAGACUAAAAUACCGCCAAAUUUUUUAAGUUUCAAGAAUAUAACUAAUACUACUCAAAUAAAUUAAUUUAUACUUUAA